UAAUGCAAGUCGAAUAGUGAACACGGAGCUUGCUCUGUGGGAUCAGUGGCGAACGGGUGAGUAACACGUGAGCAACCUGCCCCUGACUCUGGGAUAAGCGCUGGAAACGGCGUCUAAUACUGGAUAUGUGACGUGACCGCAUGGUCUGCGUCUGGAAAGAAUUUCGGUUGGGGAUGGGCUCGCGGCCUAUCAGCUUGUUGGUGAGGUAAUGGCUCACCAAGGCGUCGACGGGUAGCCGGCCUGAGAGGGUGACCGGCCACACUGGGACUGAGACACGGCCCAGACUCCUACGGGAGGCAGCAGUGGGGAAUAUUGCACAAUGGGCGCAAGCCUGAUGCAGCAACGCCGCGUGAGGGACGACGGCCUUCGGGUUGUAAACCUCUUUUAGCAGGGAAGAAGCGAAAGUGACGGUACCUGCAGAAAAAGCGCCGGCUAACUACGUGCCAGCAGCCGCGGUAAUACGUAGGGCGCAAGCGUUAUCCGGAAUUAUUGGGCGUAAAGAGCUCGUAGGCGGUUUGUCGCGUCUGCUGUGAAAUCCGGAGGCUCAACCUCCGGCCUGCAGUGGGUACGGGCAGACUAGAGUGCGGUAGGGGAGAUUGGAAUUCCUGGUGUAGCGGUGGAAUGCGCAGAUAUCAGGAGGAACACCGAUGGCGAAGGCAGAUCUCUGGGCCGUAACUGACGCUGAGGAGCGAAAGGGUGGGGAGCAAACAGGCUUAGAUACCCUGGUAGUCCACCCCGUAAACGUUGGGAACUAGUUGUGGGGUCCAUUCCACGGAUUCCGUGACGCAGCUAACGCAUUAAGUUCCCCGCCUGGGGAGUACGGCCGCAAGGCUAAAACUCAAAGGAAUUGACGGGGACCCGCACAAGCGGCGGAGCAUGCGGAUUAAUUCGAUGCAACGCGAAGAACCUUACCAGGCUUGACAUAUACGAGAACGGGCCAGAAUGGUCACUCUUUGGACCUCGUAACAGGGG
rnacentral:rRNA from 1 species